UUUGAUCCUGGCUCAGGAUGAACGUUGGCGGUGUGCCUAAUACAUGCAAGUCGAACGGAGUGUACGAGAUAGCAAUAUUUUGUAUUACUUAGUGGCGAACGGGUGAGUAACGCGUUGGUGAUCUGCCCCGAAGUGGGGAAUAACAAUUCGAAAGAAUUGCUAAUACCUCAUGUUAUCUUAGAGAUUAGAUGCUCUUUGAUCAAAGGAUUUAUUCGCUUCGGGAGGAGCCUGCGUCCCAUCAGCUAGUUGGUAAGGUAACGGCUUACCAAGGCUAUGACGGGUAGGGGACCUGAGAGGGUGGCCCCCCACAAUGGAACUGAAACACGGUCCAUACACCUACGGGUGGCAGCAGUAGGGAAUAUUAGUAAUGGGCGAAAGCCUGAACUAGCAACACCGCGUGUGCGAUGAAGGCCUUCGGGUUGUAAAGCACUUUUCGAGAGGAAGAGGAAGGACGGUACUCUCGGAAUAAGUCUCGGCUAACUACGUGCCAGCAGCCGCGGUAAAACGUAGRRGGCGAACGUUAUCCGGAUUUACUGGGCGUAAAGCGCGUGUAGGUGGUUUGGUAAGUAGGGCGUGAAAGCUCCUGGCUCAACUAGGAGAGGUCGUUCUAAACUGCCAGACUUGAGGAUGGUAGAGGGAGGUGGAAUUCCGGGUGUAGUAGUGAAAUGCGCAGAUAUUCGGAGGAACACCAGUGGCGAAAGCGGCCUCCUGGACCACACCUGACACUCAGACGCGAAAGCUAGGGUAGCAAACGGGAUUAGAGACCCCGGUAGUCCUAGCCGUAAACGAUGUAGACUUGACGUUGGUGGUUUAAUAUCCAUCAGUGUCGUAGCUAACGCGAUAA
rnacentral:rRNA from 1 species